rnacentral:rRNA from 1 species
AUUGAACGCUUGCGGCAGGCCUAACACAUGCAAGUCGAGCGAGCGGCGGACGGGUGAGUAAUGUAUGGGGACUGCCCGAUAGAGGGGGAUAACUACUGGAAACGGUUGCUAAUACCGCAUACUAUCGGAUAACCCAUAUGGGAUUAGCUAGUAGGUGGGGUAAAGGCUCACCUAGGCGACGAUCACUCGCUGGUCUGAGAGGAUGAUCAGCCAAACUGGGACUGAGACACGGCCCAGACUCCUACGGAGGCAGCAGUGGGGAAUCUUGCACAAUGGGCGCAAGCCUGAUGCAGCCAUGCCGCGUGUAGGAAGAAGGCCUUAGGAUUGUAAAGUACUUUCAGAGGGGAAGCGUUACCCGAAGAAGAAGCAACGGCUAACUCCGUGCCAGCAGCCGCGGUAAUUC